rnacentral:rRNA from 1 species
UGGGGAAUAUUGGACAAUGGGCGAAAGCCUGAUCCAGCAAUGCCGCGUGAGUGAAGAAGGCCUUAGGGUUGUAAAGCUCUUUUACCCGGGAAGAUAAUGACUGUACCGGGAGAAUAAGCCCCGGCUAACUCCGUGCCAGCAGCCGCGGUAAUACGGAGGGGGCAAGCGUUGUUCGGAAUUACUGGGCGUAAAGCGCACGUAGGCGGCUAUUCAAGUCAGAGGUGAAAGCCCGGGGCUCAACUCCGGAACUGCCUUUGAAACUAGGUAGCUUGAACAUUGGAGAGGCGAGUGGAAUUCCGAGUGUAGAGGUGAAAUUCGUAGAUAUUCGGAAGAACACCAGUGGCGAAGGCGACUCGCUGGACAAUUGUUGACGCUGAGGUGCGAAAGCGUGGGGAGCAAACA